UACGUAGGGUGCUAGCGUUGUUCGGAAUUACUGGGCGUAAAGCGCGCGUAGGCGGCUUAACAAGUCAGAGGUGAAAUCCCCAGGCUCAACCCGGGAAUUGCCUUUGAAACUGUUAAGCUUGAGUGUCGGAGGGGAUAGCGGAAUUCCUAAUGUAGAGGUGAAAUUCGUAGAUAUUAGGAGGAACACCGGUGGCGAAGGCGGCUAUCUGGACGACAACUGACGCUGAGGCGCGAAAGCGUGGGGAUCAAACAGG
rnacentral:rRNA from 1 species